UACGUAGGGAGCAAGCGUUGUCCGGAGUUACUGGGCGUAAAGCGCACGCAGGCGGUCUGCUAAGUUUGGAGUGACAGUUGGUGGCUUAACUGCCAAAGUGCUUCGAAAACUGACAGACUUGAGGGCUUCAGAGGGACACGGAAUUCCGGGUGGAGUGGUGAAAUGCGCAGAUAUCAGGAGGAACACCGGUGGCGAAGGCGGUUCUCUGGGCCUGUACUGACGCUGAGGAGCGAAAGCGUGGGGAGCGAACAGG
rnacentral:rRNA from 1 species